GAAUUUGUGGUGUAGCGGUGAAAUGCAUAGAUAUCACAAGGAACUCCGAUUGCGAAGGCAGCUCACUGGGGUGUAACUGACGCUCAUGCACGAAGGUGUGGGUAUCAAACAGGAUUAGAUACCCUGGUAGUCCACACAGUAAACGAUGAAUACUCGCUGUUUGCGAUACACAGUAAGCGGCAACGCGAAAGCAUUAAGUAUUCCACCUGGGGAGUACGUCGGCAACGAUGAAACUCAAAGGAAUUGACGGGGGCCCGCACAGGCGGAGGAACAUGUGGUUUAAUUCGAUGAUACGCGAGGAACCUUACCUGGGCUUGAAUUGCAGACGACCGGACCUGAAAGGGUUCUUCUCUUCGGAGCGUCUGUGAAGGUGCUGCAUGCUUGUCGUCAGCUCGUGCCGUGAGGUGUCGGCUUAAGUGCCAUAACGAGCGCAACCCUUAUCGUUAGUUGCUAACAGGUUAAGCUGAGGACUCUAAUGAGACUGCCGUCGUAAGAUGUGAGGAAGGAUGGGAUGACGUCAAAUCAGCACGGCCCUUAUGUCCAGGGCGACACACGUGUUACAAUGGGAGGACCAACGGGCAGCUACCCGGCAACGGGAUGCUAAUCUCUAACCCCUCUCUCAGUUCGGAUUGAAGUCUGUAAUUCGACUUCAUGAAGCUGGAUUCGCUAGUAAUCGCGCAUCAGCCACGGCGCGGUGAAUACGUUCCCGGGCCUUGUACACACCGCCCGUCAAGCCAUGGAAGCCGAGGGUACCUGAAGUAUGUAACCGCAAGGAGCGUCCUAGGGUAAGAUUGGUGACUGGGGCUAAGUCGUAACAAGGUAACCCGAAAGGGCGAAUCGUAACUCG
rnacentral:rRNA from 1 species